UAUCGAGAAAAAUUGUUUGAGGCACAC
rnacentral:sRNA from 1 species